GAUGAACGCUAGCGGCAGGCUUAAUACAUGCAAGUCGAGGGGCAGCAUGAUUGUAGCAAUACAAUUGAUGGCGACCGGCAAACGGGUGCGGAACACGUACACAACCUUCCAACAAGUGGGGGAUAGCCCAGAGGAAUUUGGAUUAAUACCCCGUAACAUAGCGAUGUGGCAUCACAUUGCUAUUAUAGAUGUUUCGCUUGUUGAUGGGUGUGCGGCUGAUUAGAUAGUUGGCGGGGUAACGGCCCACCAAGUCUACGAUCAGUAGCUGAUGUGAGAGCAUGAUCAGCCACACGGGCACUGAGACACGGGCCCGACUCCUACGGGAGGCAGCAGUAAGGAAUAUUGGACAAUGGACGCAAGUCUGAUCCAGCCAUGCCGCGUGAAGGAUUAAGGUCCUCUGGAUUGUAAACUUCUUUUAUAAGGGACGAAAAAAGGCUUUUCUAAGUCGUCUGACGGUACCUUAUGAAUAAGCACCGGCUAACUCCGUGCCAGCAGCCGCGGUAACAC
rnacentral:rRNA from 1 species